UUUACUAUUUAUGUGUCUUGACCAAAUCACGUGCCAGCAGUCGCGGUAAUACGUGGAAGACUAGUGUUAUUCAUCUUUAAUUGGUUUAAAGGGUACUUAGACGGUUAAUUAAGCCCGAUGGGGGACUAAUUGGCUAGAGUUUUAUAUGAGGAGGGGAGUACUAAAGAGUGUAGAGAUGAAAUUCAGUCAUACCUGAUUUGGAACAGGCAACGGCGAAGGCAACCUYUUAUGUAAAAACUGACGUUGAAGGACGAAGGCUUAGGACACCAACAGGAUUAGAUACCCCAGCAGUCUAAGCAGACAAUGAUGAAUGUCAUAGAUUAGAGUUAUAAUUUUGUCUAUAAAUGAAAGUGUAAGCAUUCCACCUCAAGAGUAAUGCGGCAACGCAUAAACUGAAAUCAUUAGACCGUUUCUGAAACCAGUAGUGAAGUAUGUUAUUUAAUUUGAUAAUCCUCACAACACCUUACCACAACUUGAAUAGUAUAUUUUUACUUUUUGGAUUAUCUGAGAAUAGAUUUAUACUACAGGCGUUGCACGGCUGUUUUCAGUUAAUGUCGUGAGAUUUUGGUUAGUUCCAUUAAUUAACGUAAACCCUUACUUUAUUUAUCGUGAUAAAGUAGUUCACCGCUAUAUUGGAUAAGAUAAUAGGGAAUAAGACAAGUCAAUAUGGCCUUAAUGUUGUGGGCUAUAGACG
rnacentral:rRNA from 1 species